GGAGAGAUGGCUCAAUAGUCAAGAGCACUGGAUGCUCUUCCAGAGGCCCUGGGUUCAAUUUCCAGCACCU
rfam:Mesocricetus auratus contig115895, whole genome shotgun sequence.